GACGAACGCUGGCGGCGUGCUUAACACAUGCAAGUCGAACGGGAGCGCCCGGCGUUUGUGGGGGGCUCGAGUGUCGAACGGGUGAGUAACACGUGAGUAACCUGCGCUUAACUGUGGGAGAACUUCAUGAAACUGGGGCGAUUACCGGGUAUGGGCCUCCGCUGCGCGGGGGGGGUAGGGAAGUUUCGGCGGAUGGUGAUGGACACGCGUCGAAUCACUUUGUUGGUGGGGUAUUGUGUGACCAAGGCUCAGCCAGGUCGCCGUCCUGAGAGGGUGACCGGCCCCAUUGGGACUGAGGUACGGCCCAGACUGCUACGGGAGGCAGCAGUGGGGAAUAUUGCACAAUGGGCGGAAGCCAGAUGCAGAAACGCCGCGUGCGGGAUGACGGCCUUCGGGUUAUAAACCGCUUCCGCCUGUGACGAAGGGUGAGUGACGGUAAUGGGUAAAGAAGCCCCGGCUAACUACGUG
rnacentral:rRNA from 1 species